rnacentral:tRNA from 1 species
CCUGGUGGCUUAAAGGGUAAAGAGUCUGCCUGCAAUGCAGGAGACCCGGGUUCGAUCCCUGGGUCAGGA